GAGUGCGGGAACGUCUGUUCUUCCUCUGCAUCAGACACGUCCCCAUCUUCUCAAAUAUUUAUAGUGGCUCAAACAGCCUUAAAGAUGGAAUCCGCAAUAGGGGGAAACAGCGCCACUGGCCACCCCACGACCGUUGUUGUUGCCGAGCUGAGGACUAUCAUACAGCAUGACAGGAACCGACAGUCUGGUCCAGUGAAAUCACUUGAUGCUUUCCCCCGGCACAGGAGCACUGUGGAGAGGUAGGAUUCACCGAUCAGUUGUUGUGGGAAUGUCACCCACACCAAACAUCUCAUCCAAUGACCCAGCCAUGGACCGUCAUUGGGCGUCCACCUUUACUGCCCCAUGCACAAUCAGGGUGUAAAUACACAUCCCUAAGGUAAACCUUGCUUAAUCUUCUUAUCUGUUUACACUUUACAGUGAGUAUCAAGGGUUCAAUGAAACAGCUAUUGUUUUUGAUAAGGCAGAUGCAAAAAGUCAAGAACUUGCAAGCAGAGAGGGGGUUAAUGACACUUUUUAUGUCAACAAUAUAUAACUAGCUAAGCCUAUACACCAUCUUGCAAUUGAGCUAGUCACAGUGAACGUGGCUAUUUGCUUCCUAAAAGCCAACACAUAAUAAAUGGUCCCUAAAGAUUAUCUUAAAGUAAAAAUGGAUUUAUAAGUACAUUUGAUUGCUUUAGGGAGCUAGUUGAUUACAAUAACUUAGCCUACCACACACACAACAUAGAUGUGUUAGCUAACCAUGGACACUGCCAGCUAUGUUGUGUAGUCCACACUGGUGAACAUUGCCCAUGAAGCACUGGGGCCUUCGAUGGCUUUGAUUUCAAUAAAAUAUGUAGGCCGAAAGCUUGUUUACAUGGUACAAGCUACUACAAAAACAUAGUUGAGUUAACGUUAACUAGCUCCAGAAUUAGGCAACUAGCCAACCCAGGCUUCGGCUACGUUACAACCAAGCAAGCCAGGUUACUAGCUAUAUUUAGUAAUAUUACGUUACUCGUCUCGUGCUGAUAAGAAUACUAACGCCAGUUCUUUUAUCUAGGUUAGCCGAGUUCAUCCCUUUGAAAUGGCAACAGGUCAAAGAUAACGCCGGUUUAUUAGCUAGCUAGCUGCUACGUUACACUGGAAUGAGGUGGGGAGAGUGCAUUUAACGAUAGAUGGAAGCAUCAUUCCUGAAAGUUCGCGUGAGCUAAACGCCAAGUACUUACGACUGCAUUCCUCGUCGGCACAUCGUUUGAAGUCAGAGAAUCUCCUUUCGGUGGCGGCAUUGGAUAUGAAAUUAUUAAUAAAUACAAGUAAAAUGUAUACAUGAGAUACAUUUACAGCCAUGUUGUCAGUUGGGCUAUCUGGUUCUGCUCGAGCAUGAGCAGAUGAAGCCGACACGUCAGCAAAUCCAAGGCUGGUGCAAUUUGCAGGAUGUUGAUCGUGGAGUCAAAUAUCAAAAUAUGGGCGGACAAGGACAAAAAUUAAAGAGCAAGGCCAUAGAACCAGAAUAUAAUCUUCCUUUGAAUCGCAUACAUUCUGAUUCGGGUUUAUUACGUCUUUGUUGGAUACACCUCAAACAUUCCACACGUUUACUGGCAAGCGGUCGCAAUUUCCUUUUCCCCAUUCAAUUUGCCAAUCUGACUACAGCAGAUGUAUUAUGACACCUCAACAGAUGUGUGUGUGUGUGGUGUACACGUGCAUUGUUUUUCCAGGGGUACCCUAACAAACAAAACAAAUACAGAGAGAAUAUGACACUGAAUCUCUCGCAGCCUCAGGGUGGUUAGGCUAUCCUUUCUGCAUGGCUACCUUUCUGUAUGAGAGCGUGGUGCAUUCCCGUUCUCAAAAUAGUAGGUCCAGGGUAGCCCGGCAGGGCUCCUAUUUGGGGGGGACCUCAAGGGUGGUAAUGAUUCAAGUCACAUGUCAUUGCAAAUGAAAAUGACAUAAAAGCAUUGCAACGUAUUACAAAGACAUAAACCUCUUUCUGACUAUUCUUACAGCCCAUAAGUGACGUUGGCUAACUGGGCUGCUCCAUUCCACAUUUAGAGUAAAUAUCUCCCCUAGGUAUUGACAUUAUUGUUUUAAAAUGAAUCUCUAUUUCACUCCCAUAAAUAAUAUCUUCCCCAGCACUAUUUGAGGCCUACUUGCCUUCAUUAUUCCAGUGACGUGAGGCACUGAACCUACCAAUGAUUUGCUAGUAUAUUCUCACUUGGUUAUAUUACCUACUCACUUCGACCAAUAUGUGCGUUAAAGUGCAUGACUUUACUUUUUAUUUGAUUAAACAACAGUAACAUACAAAACAAUAGAACAGCCAGAGCGAUUACAAUGAGGACAAAUAAACAAAAAGUAACAAAUACAUCUGAGACAUUUUGCUUUGCAUACGUUUUAAUACAAAACGAAUGUUUAUGUGUAUGAAAAUGUUUCCUAAUAAGAGAUUGACAUACUGACAUUCAACUAUAGAAUAUGUGUAGUAAAAUGUCAAACUUGGAUAUUUCAAUGGUUGUAUGCAUUUUGUUGCCAAGAUAUAGCGUCACAUCGGUCCAGAAACCCUCACCAUGCAAACAACCACAAAAUAAGUGUUCAAUAGAUUCAGUUUCUAGUUAACAAAAACUGCAUUCACUAGUAACAUCAGGUGUGUAUAUAUUUAGAAAUCAAGUUAUUACAGGGGUAGAAUCCAUGGAUAAUCUUAAAGGAGAUAACCUUUACUUUGUUGGUCACCAUAAAUUUGAGGAGUGAGCCAAGCACGGUGCCAGUUCACAUCAAACGAUGAAGCCCAACAAAAUAUGCCAGAAGGAAUAGAUUUCCUGUAGAAAAUAUCCCUUAAUAAUCCAUUGUUGAAUUUCUAAUCUGGUAAACCUAUGCCAUUCACCUGGGUAUCACUUACAAUCGGAAAUGUCCCACAAUAUCCAUUAUUCUGUAGUAAAGACUUUAUCGCCACUAGGUAUAGCUUUUAUAACGGUGUCAUAUUCCUUGCUUGAAACCUCAGUUGUAUCUUUCCAUAAACUCCGUGUAUACAGAUUCCCACUGAUACUAACUAAUUGGCUGACUAGAACAAUGUUGUUUGAGAACCAAUUACGGUAAAAUAACAUCUUGUUUCCAUGUAAUAUAGAAUUAUUAUUCCAUAUAAAACAUUUGAAGUGAAAAGUUGUUUAUACAGCAAAGUCCAUCACAUUAAAGCCUGCUUGUGAAAAGAUGCCAAUUUCACAGGAAGUUUACCCACAAUAUAAGGACAUUGUAGUAAAAAAAAUAUUCCAAAAACGGAGUAUUUAUUUUUUAUUAAGUACCUUUUUAACCCAGUUGGCUUUUGUUAUUGAAUUAAAGAGAAUGAAGUCUAAGACAUUUAGACCACCAUCUAACCCUGUUGGUGAUAACAUCUCUUUUUAUUUUGGCUUGUUUUUCCAUAUGAAGUUGUACAAUAGCCUAAGGUACAGCAAGUGGAUUUUGGAAUGUCAAUAGAUAGUCCCUCAGCCUUUGAUAAUAACCUUGCUUUAGAGGCAGGUAGUUCUCCCUUUAUUUAUAGCCACCUUUAAAGGUUUCACGUAAAAAUGGUGCUGUUUCUUCAGAGGUUUUGGAAAAUUCAGAGGGUAAUCCAACAUGGCCUGGAUAGUUUUUUUUUUUUUUAAUGGGGCAAUCCCAUUUUGGAUGUCCAUAAUGGACAAAUCUUGACAGCAAGUCUGAUUGAAUUCUUCACUAACAGUUAACAUUCUCUUUAGAACCAAGAGUUUAGUCACUGAAACGUAUCUAAGGAGUAAAGAUUCUCAUAAAACAUAGUGGUAAAGUCUGAUAUCAACUCUCUAUCCUCAGAGGUUACCCCAUUAAUCUUAUCUUUCCGAAGUGUUCUGAAUUCCCUUCUCUUUUCCAAAUAAAAAAAGCAUCUGUUAAUUUUACAUUUUUCAAGCCAUUGUUUUCUUAACCUUAUGAAGGCUCUUAGCCUUUUCCUUAUAUAAUUUGUGUAGUUGGUUCUGUAAAUCAUUAAAUUUAGCCUUAAGAUCAAGAUGCUCAAUUUCCGUGAUAUUUGCAAUUUUCUUAGAGCUCAGUUACCUCACAUCUUAAAGCAAGCUGCUUCCCAUAAGUAAUACAGGCUGAGCAGAUUUUACAUUUCAGCUGUUCCCAAUAUUCCCCAUAUAGCGAGCAAUAGUAACGGCGUCUUUUUGUUGGCACUAACACCACCAUGGUUCGUUGAACAAAGCCUUUGGGGGAAAAUAAUGGUGUUUGGGGAUAAAACGCAGAAAAUAAGGUCUGUGGUAAACACAGGUUUAGGCGAUCGUUUUGUUCUAUGAGAUCAUCUCCAACUAACGUCACUUUUUGUGAAUUCUUAAUCAUUUAUAAAGGCAACCUAAUUCAUAAAGGUAUUGCUAACUGACUGAUAUAAUUAUCCCUACAUCAGAGGUAGAGACGUUGUUUACAUACUAACGAGCGGAAUACGUUUUUCCACCAAUGAUAGAAUGCCAGAAAGCUCUUCAACAAGUUUUUCCACCAAUGAUAGAAUGCCAGGAAGCUCUUCAAGAAGUUUUUCCACCAAUGAUAGAAUGCCAGGAAGCUCUUCAGGAAGUAUACCGGAAGUGAGACAUGUUUUAAACCAGAGGCGAAGCGAGAGUGAUAACUGGGGGCAAAAUCUGUCUUCUCUAGCAGGUGGCGAUUUUUCGUUUCUUUCCGCUCAUCAAGCGACCAGUUUUUGUAUGGAGGUCAAUGAGAGCGUGUCGAAUUUGGUUAACAAAACAUUGAAUGGCUUAUUUACUACGUGUGGCUUAUUUGAUCGAAUAGAAGUUUCGUAAUUAUUCGGCUGUUACGAGUGUACUGAUAUAAGUAGAACAAGUAACAUCCCGACAACUUCGAGAAUAAACACUAUA